rnacentral:tRNA from 1 species
GGAGAGGUGCCCGGAGUGGUUGAUCGGGGACCAGCGAGAGGUCGGAUCCUUUCGGGGGUCCACGCAGGUUCGAAUCCUGCCCUCUCCG